UACGUAGGGUGCGAGCGUUGUCCGGAAUUAUUGGGCGUAAAGAGCUCGUAGGCGGUCUGUCGCGUCGGUCGUGAAAACUUGGGGCUUAACCCUGAGCUUGCGGUCGAUACGGGCAUGACUGGAGUUCGGCAGGGGAGACUGGAAUUCCUGGUGUAGCGGUGAAAUGCGCAGAUAUCAGGAGGAACACCGGUGGCGAAGGCGGGUCUCUGGGCCGAUACUGACGCUGAGAGACGAAAGCUAGGGGAGCGAAUGGG
rnacentral:rRNA from 1 species